UUUUAGACCUCAAAACUUCCAUUUACAGUAUUAGCUUCCUUGUAUAAAAGCUACAGCAGUCAUCCCAACUUUUGAACAUGAAAAACGUGCUCGUCGGUUCAGUGGUUAAUAUACAAUAACGUAGGCGUAGCAAGAUAAACAAGGAUUGUGCUAUGAAUUCUAGUGUUUUUAUGCUAGAUAGUUAAACACAACUUUAAUUAGUUUCUCAUGUGCAAUUGGUGUGACGUUUUGUGAAUGAAAAUAUCAAAAAAAUCCUCGUUUUUACCCUUGAAUUCUUCGACGCCAUUUUAAUAUAAUAGCACGUGUUCGUCGCAGAAACGUCCGGUCGUGUCAAAUGCCCGGCCGGUAAAC